UGACAUACCUAUUUGUUGCCUCGGCGGUGCCUGUUCCGACAGCCCGCCAGAGGACCCCAAACCCUGAUUACAUUUAAGAAGUCUUCUGAGUAAACCGAUUAAAUAAAUCAAAACUUUCAACAACGGAUCUCUUGGUUCUGGCAUCGAUGAAGAACGCAGCGAAAUGCGAUAAGUAAUGUGAAUUGCAGAAUUCAGUGAAUCAUCGAAUCUUUGAACGCACAUUGCGCCCGCUAGUAUUCUGGCGGGCAUGCCUGUCCGAGCGUCAUUUCAACCCUCAAGCCCCCGGGCUUGGUGUUGGGGAUCGGCGAGCCUCCGCGCCCGCCGUCCCCUAAAUCUAGUGGCGGUCUCGCUGUAGCUUCCUCUGCGUAGUAGCACACCUCGCACUGGGAAACAGCGCGGCCACGCCGUUAAACCCCCAACUUCUGAACGUUUGACCUCGGAUCAGGUAGGAAUACCCGCUGAACUUAAGCAUAUCAAU
rnacentral:rRNA from 1 species